rnacentral:rRNA from 2 species
AGACCCGAAACCCGGUGAUCUAGCCAUGGGCAGGUUGAAGGUUGGGUAACACUAACUGGAGGACCGAACCGACUAAUGUUGAAAAAUUAGCGGAUGACCUGUGGCUGGGGGUGAAAGGCCAAUCAAACCGGGAGAUAGCUGGUUCUCCCCGAAAGCUAUUUAGGUAGCGCCUCGUGAAUUCAUCUCCGGGGGUAGAGCACUGUUUCGGCCAGGGGGCCAUCCCGGCUUACCAACCCGAUGCAAACUGCGAAUACCGGAGAAUGUUAUCACGGGAGACACACGGCGGGUGCUAACGUCCGUCGUGAAGAGGGAAACAACCCAGACCGCCAGCUAAGGUCCCAAAGUCAUGGUUAAGUGGGAAACGAUGUGGGAAGGCCCAGACAGCCAGGAUGUUGGCUUAGAAGCAGCCAUCAUUUAAAGAAAGCGUAAUAGCUCACUGGUCGAGUCGGCCUGCGCGGAAGAUGUAACGGGGCUAAACCAUGCACCGAAGCUGCGGCAGCGAACGUAUCACUUAAAGCGAUUCAGCGGAUGACGAUUGACGGAGCGAAGCGACGUCAAAGCGUUUUACAAAGUCGAGUCGGUUUAAGGAUACGUUCGUUGGGUA